UACAGAGGUCUCAAGCGUUGUUCGGAUUCAUUGGGCGUAAAGGGUGCGUAGGCGGCGCGGUAAGUCGGGUGUGAAAUCUCGGAGCUUAACUCCGAAACUGCAUUCGAUACUGCCGUGCUUGAGGACUGGAGAGGAGACUGGAAUUUACGGUGUAGCGGUGAAAUGCGUAGAGAUCCGGAAGAACACCGGUGGCGAAGGCGGCCUGCUGGGCAGUGGCUGACACUGAGGCGCGACAGCGUGGGGAGCAAACAGG
rnacentral:rRNA from 1 species